rnacentral:rRNA from 1 species
AUGGAUAUUGAGAGGGACAACAUUCCAGGAAGUUUUAUGGAACUACUGAACAUGGUUGAGCAGCCCAUGUCAAAUUUCAAUCAAGAAAACACUAUGAACUCAGUACCAGAAGAAAGUUCGUGCUUUUCUGAUAGACCAUAUUGUUCAGAAGACACUGAUGUACUUUCGAGACCUAACUUAAGGGUUGACACUUAUGAUUAUGUCGAUGACUCAAAUGAAGUUCAGUCCAGUCUUGAAUGUAUGAAAGAAAAAGUUGCGAUUGCUGAUAUGAUAUCUGCCCCUGAAAAUCUUGACGAGCAGUACUUAUUUUCUGCAUACAAUGUUCAGAUUGAGGAGUCAGAUUCUAAUGAACGAUACCUUGAAGGAGGACAAGUUGGAGCUGUGGAACACGGAAUUAGAAGUUUUUGUGAAGACACAUCUGUUCAAAUGUUAAGGCCGGUUGUUGGUAUGAAGUUUUCAUCAAAGGCAGAAGCAUAUGACUUCUACAAUACAUAUUCUUGGGUGCUUGGUUUCAGUAUUCGGAAUGGUGAUAAUUAUAUUAAUUGCAAUGGCGUACAGACAAUGCAGGAAUUAAUUUGCCAACGAGCACCCAGAUCCCCACCGGCCAUGCUGGCGGCGAGAACCCUGAGACGGACAAGCGACUGUGCCUCCACCUUCCAGAUGACGCCUCGCCGCAAGAAGAAGACGCGGGGACUUGGAUGUUGA